rnacentral:rRNA from 1 species
UACAGAGGGGGCAAGCGUUGUUCGGAAUUACUGGGCGUAAAGGGCGCGUAGGCGGCCUCUUAAGUCGAACGUGAAAUCCCCGGGCUCAACCCGGGAACUGCGUCCGAUACUGGGAGGCUUGAAUCCGGGAGAGGGAUGUGGAAUUCCAGGUGUAGCGGUGAAAUGCGUAGAUAUUGGGAAGAACACCGAUGGCGAAGGCAGCCAUCUGGACCGACACUGACGCUGAGGCGCGAAAGCGUGGGGAGCAAACAGG